rnacentral:sRNA from 1 species
AAUACACCACACACAUGAGGUCAGAUAUGACAUGAUUCCAUUUCUGCAAAAUAUACAAGAAUUGGUGCGGGCUGCCGGGCUGCCCCGAGCCGGCGGGGAGCCGGUCCGCUCCAGGUGGCGGGCAGCGGGAGCGAGGGAGCGGA